AUUGAACGCUGGCGGCAGGCUUAACACAUGCAAGUCGAGCGGGGGAAGGUAGCUUGCUACCGGACCUAGCGGCGGACGGGUGAGUAAUGCUUAGGAAUCUGCCUAUUAGUGGGGGACAACAUCUCGAAAGGGAUGCUAAUACCGCAUACGUCCUACGGGAGAAAGCAGGGGAUCUUCGGACCUUGCGCUAAUAGAUGAGCCUAAGUCGGAUUAGCUAGUUGGUGGGGUAAAGGCCUACCAAGGCGACGAUCUGUAGCGGGUCGGAGAGGAUGGUCCGCCACACUGGGACGGAGACACGGCCCAGACUACUACGGGAGGCAGCAGUGGGGAAUAUUGGACAAUGGGGGGAACCCUGAUCCAGCCAUGCCGCGUGUGUGAAGAAGGCCUUAUGGUUGUAAAGCACUUUAAGCGAGGAGGAGGCUACUCUAGUUAAUACCUAGGGAUAGUGGACGUUACUCGCAGAAUAAGCACCGGCUAACUCUGUGCCAGCCGCCGCCGUAA
rnacentral:rRNA from 1 species